rnacentral:rRNA from 1 species
CUACGGGUCGCUGCAGUGGGGAAUAUUGGACAAUGGGGGAAACCCUGAUCCAGCAAUGCCGCGUGUGUGAAGAAGGCCUGCGGGUUGUAAAGCACUUUCGGUCGGGAGGACUGCUUCUAGCACUAAUAUUGUUGGAAGUUGACGUUACCUUCAGAAGAAGCACCGGCUAACUCCGUGCCAGCAGCCGCGGUAAUGACGGAGGGUGCAAGCGUUAAUCGGAAUUACUGGGCGUAAAGCGCGCGUAGGCGGCUAGAUCAGUCGGGUGUGAAAGCCCCGGGCUUAACCUGGGAACUGCAUCCGAUACUGUCUAGCUUGAGUACAGGAGAGGAGAGUGGAAUUCCACAUGUAGCGGUGAAAUGCGUAGAUAUGUGGAGGAACACCAAUGGCGAAGGCAGCUCUCUGGCCUGAUACUGACGCUGAGGUGCGAAAGCGUGGGGAGCAAACAGGAUUAGAUACCCCAGUAGUC